rnacentral:lncRNA from 1 species
UGCCAUGUUAACUGAGAGUUGGUAGCCAAUAUCAAGUGAUUUGGAAAUUUUGUUGGUCUGAACCAUAAAUGUGAUGAUUUAUCACAAUUGUCAUGUGAUCACGAUUUUGUUGAUCACAUUACAUCUAUGCUCUGUUUGUUUGUUUGUUUGUUUGUUUGUUUGUUUGUUUCAUCACAAUUGUCAUGUGAUGAUUCCUGCCCUUUUGUGUGGUCUCUCUCUCUCUCUCUCUCUGUGUCGCAUGUUAAAUCCCCCAAAUUCGAUGGAUGCCUGCUCUUCCUGCCACACUGACAUCAAUUUUUAAAAUUUAUUUGACAAUUCUGCACCAAAUUCCUCUCCUAUCUCGCAUCGGAUUUCAGUGGAACGGGCGAAGAAAAUCGACCGCGCGACACGGCCACCCGAUGUUGGUGAACGGCGAAUGACCUUGCUGUCAAGUAUGCCACUUUGCACUUUUGUUUCACUAAUUGACACCUGCAAGUAACAAGUCCUGAUAAUUUAAGAGACUUGUUCUUGUAGGAUGGCAUUGGAUGUGCAUGAAUUGGGCAUCUGGUUCAGCUAUGUUAGGUUGAUACCUUCUGUGCAGAAGGGAUGGCACUGUUAAUUUUCUCCCUUUGGUUAUUCUGUUGUCCUACAAGGCUAGCUUGAUGUACAUGGCUGGAUAUGCAAUUGGCCUGGGAUGCAAGGUUUUUAUGCUCGUAGGCUCACAUGAUGUACUGAUGGUAACAUUGUAUAUUUUAGGUAUAAGGAGGGUUUCUUGGCUGCAUUGCCUCCUCCUCGCCACCAGCCAGUUAUUUGCUGCAUUUUCAUGUCAAAUUUAAGCAAUUGAUAGUUCAUACAUAUUGUUUUGAUUAUCACGCUGGAUACAAUUGAGUUUAAUUUCUCACAAAUGAUACGAGUUUCUGUUGGUGGUGGCUCGAGCGAUGCAGGACAUCGGUGAGUACAGCGGCGUCUACAGCUGGUGGGAGCGGCGGUCAAGAUCAUGGGCAUGGCUUGGGGAGUGGUGCUUGUGUCGACCAGUGAGGGGCGCAUCUGCUACCAACAUGCCAAGGUAAGCUUCGCCCAACCCUUCCCUCUCUCCCUCUUUGUUCCCAUCUAUGCUCACUCCAUGCCACAUCCUUCCCCAUGAUCGACUCCAUUCGGUGAUGUAUGUCACAUCCCUGGAUCGAUUUAAGCUCAUGUAAUCUUCAAUCAAUCGAGGUGGACAUUCAUGCUACCCGGAUCUAUAAUCUUCUCAGUUUGUAAAAAUAUUCUUGUGCAUUUGCUACAUUUGUUUUCCCUUGAUUAGUUGCUUAUUUUUCUACUUCUCUUGGGUUAUUUGGAGAGCACGUAAAUAUGGAGAAUCAAUGGGGAAGGCAAAUAUAACACUGGAUAAAUAGCUCCCUUAUUCUACUGAAUUUUACUUGCUAUUUUAUUAAUCAUAUUAAACCAAGAUGCCUUUUCUGCAUUGUCACAUAUUGAUAGUCACAUUUGAAGGAACCAGGAGAAACUCCAGCGUUUGUACUACUCUGUUUCCAUAGUAGUUAUGCUCUUUCUCUGAAAUAUGAAGUCAAAUACAAAAAUAGUGUUGACUCUUCUCCUUUUGUUAAUGAUUUGUUCUAACUAUAAGGUUAGCAUGAAUUGUAUUUAUGAAAUUAUCCUGAGAUGCAGGCAAUUGUAGGAGGAAAAUAAUUGUUUUUGUUGAAGAUCUUGGUUUCCGUGGUUGGCACUAUGAUACUCCUAGGCAUCCUCUAUUUUGGACGCUUCAAACUUUGUGCAAGGAUGAUUAUUAAAAUCCAAACUUUGUCGUGUCUGAUUCCAUUGUCAUAUGCUUGUGUUUUGAAGCAGACUGUAUAUAUGCUUAUGUCUUGCUUCAGUUUCUCAUGCAAUAUUUACCAUAGUGUGCUCGAUACAGUUUCAAUGAUAUUAUCUAAGCAAUUGUAUUUUUUACAAUUUUCACUUGAUGAUGCCAACAGUUCAUCAAUUCCGUCUGAAUUUAUUUGUCGGGUCUUGUAGCUAUCACUAAGCUUUGCUUCCUUCCAAUUUUAGGAUCAGUAGGCGUGACUGAUGAUGCAGAGCCAUUCCUGGGGUCUCGACGAUUUGGUACUAAUUUAAAUUUUAAUUACUGCGAAAUAUUCUCCAUUAUGCAUGAUGCAUUUGGUUCUUAUAACAGAUUUAGUAUUAUGGUGUUGCUUUAUGGGAUUAUGAACAAAGUAGAUUUGGGAAAUUCUCAUAGUGCAAUUGAUGAAUCAGACCAUUACUUAGUUAAAAAUGUAAACCUUAGCUUCCUCGGUGUAUCUAUAUUACUAUAUGGCCUACUACUACUCGUAGUGUGGUAGAUAGUCCAAAUGCAAUUGCAUUGUUUGUGCUUACAUACAACUAUCUGCUCAUUCUCUACCACCUACACUACUAUAGCUGGUGGUACGUGCCAGAGAAAUCGUUUAUGCCAUAGCGUGGGAUACCUGUCUCCUGUUAUUUGAAAGCACCUGUUGAUUUUUUCGUUAGAGUAUUCAUGAUUUGAGUUUUAUGUAAAGGUCUCUGGCAUCCUUCAGCACAACUGGCCGCCUGCCUAGAAAAAGAAUUAAAAUUAGCUGCAUUUGCCUGUACCUAGAGGAAUAGAGGGCAGAAUAGUUGCAGACUUGCUUUCUACUAAUCAGUUGUAUUUACACUUUAGGUAGCUCAUCUAUAAGUACCCUGAUAACAACAGAUUGAUAUUACGUUGAUAUUAAUACACUGAAUCUUUUGGAAAGAACACUGACAGAAUAGAAUUUUGCGAACAGGGAGUUUGAGGUUAUCAUUGAUUAGGUACCCUGGAGAGCUGCAAGCUGCUUGUCUUGUUUCGAAUCAUGUUCCUGCUGUUUUAUCUUUAUCCCCGCUGAGAGUGCAUUAUGUGGGUAGUGUAAUCAUCAUGCUCUCUGAGGACAUGUAUAGAGUUGCAACUCUAUUUCUUGAAAAUUAACCUUGUAAAUUCCUGUUUCCUUAGAACUGUUCCUGUAAAUUGACCCUGUAAAUUCCUAUUUUCUUAGAACUGGUCCUGUAGAGUCGCAUCUUUGUUCUCUUGAAAAUUGACCAUGUAAAUUCCUAUUUUCCUAGAACUGAUCCUGUAAAUUCUUCCCUGUAUUUUAAUGAAGUUUGGUGUCGGGGCUUUGAUAUAACAGCAACUAGGACAUUGGAAACUAAUAUUAGUUGCUACGUAUUGUGGUUAACCUCAUCCAUUUUGUU